rnacentral:rRNA from 1 species
UGACACUCAGACGCGAAAGCUAGGGUAGCAAACGGGAUUAGAGACCCCGGUAGUCCUAGCCCUAAACGAUGUCGACUUGACGUCGGUGGCUUAAUCGUCAUCGGUGUCGUAGCUAACGCGAUAAGUCGACCGCCUGGGGACUACGGCCGCAAGGUUAAAACUCAAAGGAAUUGACGGGUCCCCGCACAAGCAGCGGAGCGUGUGGUUUAAUUCGUUGCUACACGAAGAACCUUACCUGGGUUUGACAUAGCAGUGGUAGGGAAGCGAAAGCGGACCGACCCUUCGGGGAGCUGUUACAGGUGUUGCAUGGCUGUCGUCAGCUCGUGUCGUGAGAUGUUCGGUUAAGUCCGCUAACGAGCGCAACCCUCGUGAUGUGUUACAAGUGUCACAUCAUACUGCCGGUAUUAAGUCGGAGGAAGGUGGGGAUGACGUCAAGUCAGCAUGACCUUUAUAUCCAGGGCUACACACACGCUACAAUGGUCUGUACAAUAGGUUGCCAAGCCGCGAGGCGGAGCCAAUCCUAAAAAGCAGGCCUCAGUUCAGAUUGCAGUCUGCAACUCGACUGCAUGAAGUUGGAGUUGCUAGUAAACGCAGGUCAGCUAUACUGCGUGAAUACUGUCCCUUUGGGCG